GAAGGCAGCNUCCUGGGAUAACACUGACGUUCAUGCCCGAAAGCGUGGGUAGCAAACAGGAUUAGAUACCCUGGUAGUNCACGCCCUAAACGAUGUCGAUUAGCUGUUGGGCAGCAUGACUGCCUAGUAGCGAAGCUAACGCGUGAAAUCGNCCGCCUGGGGAGUACGGUCGCAAGAUUAAAACUCAAAGGAAUUGACGGGGACCCGCACAAGCGGUGGAUGAUGUGGAUUAAUUCGAUGCAACGCGAAGAACCUUACCUGGUCUUGACAUGUACGGAAUCCUCCAGAGACGGAGGAGUGCCUUCGGGAGCCGUAACACAGGUGCUGCAUGGCUGUCGUCAGCUCGUGUCGUGAGAUGUUGGGUUAAGUCCCGCAACGAGCGCAACCCUUGUCAUUAGUUGCCAUCAUUAAGUUGGGCACUCUAAUGAGACUGCCGGUGACAAGCCGGAGGAAGGUGGGGAUGACGUCAAGUCCUCAUGGCCCUUAUGACCAGGGCUUCACACGUUAUACAAUGGUCGGUACAGAGGGUAGCCAAGCCGCGAGGCGGAGCCAAUCUCACAAAACUGAUCGUAGUCCGGAUUGCACUCUGCAACUCGAGUGCGUGAAGUCGGAAUC
rnacentral:rRNA from 1 species